UAAGAAAUAUACAAAUAUGUACUAACGAAAUUGCAAUACUUGACAACAAAUUUGUUAAAUCUGGUUUGUUCAUUUAAUUUUAACAAAUAUACCAGUAUUGUAUUUAUAUUUAUUGAAUAAUUGAUUUUCAAUAUAAAAUUCAACCUGUAUAGUGUCUGAUAAGAGUAAUGGCUCAGAAUACAGUCACAUGUUUCUCAUUUUAAGGAGGUAUCCUGUGGCAUUUUUUUUUCUAAAUAUAAGGAAGGUAUACUUUAGCAUUUUUAUCAUUUAAGGGAAAUAUUACUAAUGCAAAUUUUCUUGGAAUACUUUGUCAUGGAUACCACCAUUUCUAAAAACGAAACUAGUUUUGAAGACACAAAAUUUUCAAAUUUUGACUGUUCUUGUGAACAAAUUAAACCAAUCAACUGCAUUUGAAAAAAAGUCCAACAGAUGCUUUGCUUAUUCCUACAAAUUCCAUGUUAAAUGGUAAAAGAUAAAAAAUACCGCCUCAACAACCUAUUGUAUAGUACACAGGAAUGAAUUGUUGCAUUGAUUUGACUCUUUUCACAGAUUCAUGGAAAAAAUUAAUCCAUUAUAUAGAAAACAGUUUGACAAAUUUUUGAUAGCUGUUUUAGCACGAACUAUGGAGGUAAAUGGAGAGAAUUUAUUAUACAUGAAAUAUGGAGGUAACUGGGGAGAAUUUAUUAUACAUAAAAUAUGGAGGUAACUGGGGAGAAUUUAUUAUACAUGAAAUAUGGAGAGAAUUUAUUAUACAUGAAAUAUGGAGAGAAUUUAUUAUACAUGAAAUAUGGAGGUAACUGGGGAGAAUUUAUUAUACAUAAAAUAUGGAGGUAACUGGGGAGAAUUUAUUAUACAUGAAAUAUGGAGAGAAUUUAUUAUACAUGAAAUAUGGAGGUAACUGGGGAGAAUUUAUUAUACAUGAAAUAUGGAGGUAAAUGGAGAGAAUUUAUUAUACAUGAAAUAUGGAGGUAACUGGGGAGAAUUUAUUAUACAUAAAAUAUGGAGGUAACUGGGGAGAAUUUAUUAUACAUAAAAUAUGGAGGUAAAUGGAGAGAAUUUAUUAUAUAUGAAAUAUGGAGAUAAAUGGAGAGAAUUUAUUAUACACGAAAAGCAAGAAUGGUAUCAUUUUAGAAGUGUCUGUAUCAUGCAAAGAACCUUGAACAUGUAUCUAACAAGAAUAUGUUUCCAUAGGACACCAUGCCCUGCUAAUUCUCAAAUUUAAUGUUCAAUGUAUAAUCUAGGUAAAAGCCCAAAUAUGGUAUACAUUUCAUAAAGUUAACAUCAUAAUGAAUAUGUGUACAAAAUUUUAAGUUGAUGUGACCAUAACAUCAAGGUACACUUAAACUUAAACAUCAUACAGACUGAAAACAUUAUGUCCCAGUGCAUAAAUUUUGAUAUUACUCUAUUGUCUCGACUCUAGUGUUAUUUCAAAUUUAUUUUGGCUCUUCACAACCCUAUGUGUAAAAAUUUUUUAAAAUGAUUUAUAACAGAAAAUCUUUUUAAUAUCUAGAUUCCUUUGGAAGAGAGUCAACAGCAUGUAUUAAAAAUUCAUUAGUGGCUGCUAUAUUUAAUCAUUUGAAGUAGUGAAUACUGAACCAUAUUUGCAAAUAAAAGCAGCGCAGGAUUUUAAAUAAAUGAUUAUAAUAAGAGUGGAUAUUUAAUACUACACUCAAAAGCGUUAAUUAAAAAUUUGCCUUCCAACAUGCCUCAAUAAAAAAGAUCAUCUUACUAAAAUUGUCAGAAUUAACGUUCAUCAAUCAAAAGCAGACCUACAAAUUAAAUCCUCAACAUAUUAUAUACUGUAAAUCACUUGGAUAUUUUCAGAACAAGUGAUAGGACUGAGUUAGCUAUCAUUUCUCUAUGUUGCUACAGAAUUUUAGGAAACAAAACCACCAGCAAAAGAACAGCAAUUCCUUUUUUUUUCAAUGAUUUCAAUUUUAAUGGACAGUAGAACAGAAAAAUGUGAAUUUCAUCAGUUUGACAGCCUAAUAUCCCAACUAUAAUUCCUGAAAAGAGUUUUAUAGUUCAAUGGUAUUCAAGUUAUACCACAGAAUUGACAUAGAGCCCCAUUUUUCAAUCAAUCAAGGAUGUUACUCUUGAACAGUAAAUGUGGACACUAUAAAACUUGACCUCCGUUUUGUCAUUGGAUACAAAAUAAUCAAACUCAGAAAAUGAUUUCUUGAACAGUUCUCAAGUUGUUGCACGGAAACAGUGGCAACAUCUAACCACCAUACCGUCCCAUAUUAAUAACUGAAUUUGUUUUGUAAUAAAACUUGGUUAAAGAGCAUCUUUGGUGGGGAUUUUUCACAGGGAACGCUAGUGACUGUUGGUGAAUCUUUUGAUUAUCUAUGUAUAUUCAACAGACAUCACAUGAUAGGGUUAUAAAUCAGAGCGUUAUCAAUUAAAAUCACAAGCAAUCAUAUGUCUAAGUGAUACACUCAAACAAGUCUAUUUCUCUAGUUGUACAUAAUUUUUGUAUCUCAUCAGGGUCUGUAUGGGAAAGACUUUCUGUAUAAUAUAAUGUCAAGGAUAAGCAGAAUAUUAAGUGAAAAGUUUAACAAAGUGAUAUGAAAAUGCAGUGGUAACAACAUGCUAUUAUAAACUGAGUUUCCUCUUGGACAGGUUUACAUUUUCUUGCAAGCAACAGUAUUUUCUAUCUUUUAUAAAAUGAUGAAUUAAUGAAUGAAUGAAUGGAUGGUUGAUUGUGAUGUUCAGCGAGUCUAUUUCAACCAUAUCAAGGACAAAUUACCAUAUUGUUUUAGGAAAAUGUAAAAAGGAUUUCAAACAAACAGCUCUAUCUAGACAUCCCCCCAAACGAAAGAAAUAUUAAGUAUAAAUUAAAAAAAAAAUUAAAAGAAGCAGAAAGUUUAAAAUCAAAGACCAUUAAUUAAAACAGAUCUGAAUAUUAAAAUCCAAUUUCCAAGUCACUGAUAAGUCUAUUCUUUACCACAACUAAUAAAAAAAAAUUCCCAGCUUAAAAGAAACUAUUCAAGAUAAAACAUGAACUUGCUAACCUAAUUUAUACAGAUUUAUACAGAAAAAAACGCUGAAAAUCUACAACACACAACUUGAUACAAAUACUGGAACUUAAAAAUUGGUAACAUUAAUUAUA